CUCAGGAUGAACGCUAGCUACAGGCUUAACACAUGCAAGUCGAGGGGCAGCAUGAACUUAGCUUGCUAAGUUUGAGUGGCGACCGGCGCACGGGUGAGUAACACGUAUCCAACCUGCCGAUGACUCGGGGAUAGCCUUUCGAAAGAAAGAUUAAUACCCGAUGGCAUAGUUCUUCCGCAUGGUAGAACUAUUAAAGAACUUCGGUCAUCGAUGGGGAUGCGUUCCAUUAGGUUGUUGGCGGGGUAACGGCCCACCAAGCCUUCGAUGGAUAGGGGUUCUGAGAGGAAGGUCCCCCACAUUGGAACUGAGACACGGUCCAAACUCCUACGGGAGGCAGCAGUGAGGAAUAUUGGUCAAUGGACGAGAGUCUGAACCAGCCAAGUAGCGUGAAGGAUGACUGCCCUAUGGGUUGUAAACUUCUUUUAUACGGGAAUAAAGUGAGGCACGUGUGCCUUUUUGUAUGUACCGUAUGAAUAAGGAUCGGCUAACUCCGUG
rnacentral:rRNA from 1 species